GGUUGCAGUGAGCCAAGAUCAUGCCAUUGCACUCCAGCCUGGGCGACAGAGCAAGACCCUGUCUCAAAAAAAAAAAAAAGAAAAGAAAAGAAAGAGAAACCUCCAAGCCAGGAUUCUCUUUACUCUAGGUGAUUCUACCAUAAAAACAGACCUGACCCAGCUGGGGUAGGUACAGAACUUUGGAACCAGGCCUAUCAUGCCCAGUUAUGAAACCAGAAUGGCUUCCAUUACUAUGAAGACAUAAGAUAGGUGUCUGCUGAGGAACCAUGCUCAAACCAUGGCUGAGAUUUUUCGGAGAUCUUGGCAACUUCUGUUCUCUGGUCACCUCUGGUUCCUGACCUCUGCUUCUGGGCGGCCCUCUGGGGUCUACACUGUUUCAACUCAAAUGAGAAAUGUAGACCCUUCUAUGAUAUCCACCAUAAACCGAUUCAUAACAUUCAUGCACCAUUCAUAUUAUAAAUGUUACAGAAGCUGGAGGUAGGGUGGCAUGAAAGAGAAGUUACUCACAUUCCUGAGAUAUAAAACCUUCAAACUGUAUAUUGAUCCAUCCCAAGUUGCAAAAUAUUCUUCACCCACCUUGCUCCUCAACAAGGAAAGUUUGUGGUCUUCAUGGGAAUGAGUCCUCAGUUUCUUCAUCUUGCAGACUCCUUUCUUUUCUCUCCUCCUCUCACUUCUGUACUCCUCAGAAUACCUGUGAGAAUCUCAAAUCUUCUCAGUUUGUUUUACAGAGCCAGAGUCAUUGCAUUCCCCAGGAAAACUUGUACCUUUAGGGACACACUUCAAAUCCGUGAAGGAGCUCAGCAAACCUUUUGGGAAGAAACUCAAAAGCCUGAGAACCACUGGCCCCAGCUCUGAAGAUCGAUGAUUCUGAAUAGGUUUUUAAAGGAAGCAGUUGUGCUUAGCCUGCCUGCUGACUUUGUAAUGUGUUUUAAAUGACAUCUUUGAAAUUAAGCUGCCCCAACAGCCUUCAUGGAAGUAUCUAUUUCAAGGUUAAAGUCAGUUGAAUACUGGAAGAUGAGUUGCAUAUAAGACAUUCUCACCAACUAGAGGGAUGCAUGGACCACUGGUUAACUAUGAAUUAUUCCUGGUGACCGCCAAAAAUAAUGAGAAAGCCAAACCAUGUAAAUGUACAAAGUUUGUGAGUAGCAUGAAAGCAAAUUUGAUUUUUUGAAAGAUGUAAAAUAAUGCAAAUAUAGUAAAAUAUGGAGGGAAACAUAGAGUUUAUAAGGUUUGCCUAACAAAUGAUACAUCAUCAAACCUUUUUGUGAACUUGGAGAAUUCAAAUUCAACAACUAUUUUUUGAGCGUCCAACAAGUACUAGGCUCCAGAGAUACUGAAUGAACAGGGGCGCUGUUCCCCAGGUGGAAGCAGACACACAUCUGCAUAACUCUGAUGAGAGGAGAUAAUGCUCUAGUAGAGGCACAUGGAAGAUACUAUGGGAACAGAGCCUUCUGGUUUAGGGGCAGUGACAAUUGAUUGCAAGGAAUAGCAGCUACCUCGGGCUAACUUAUAACUAAAACUGGGUUCAUGUUAAGGAUGCUGGAAUAUCUCCAGGAACUCAGCUGCAAGAUGUUCAUAGAAACCCCAGAGUGAGAAAACUGUCUCUCACUCUUAUUUCCUCUGCCCCACCCCCACCCAGUACCUUAUUUCUGCAUCUCCCUGCAGGUCUGUGCCAUUUUACUCUAGAAGGCUCUUGGUUUCUACUCCCCCAUUGCCCUCAGCACACAGGUGCUUUGGAAGGCACCAGCUCUCUAUCCAGAUCUAGAGGGUCCUAUGUCUCUGAUGGCUAAUGUAGCCUGUGAGCUCAAUCUCAAAUCCUGGCAGAGAAAUCUCCAAUUGGCUCUGCUACUCCAAUAAUUUAUGACCAAGGAGCUUGCCUCUUCUGGGCUGCUGGUGGGUGGGGCAACUUCUUCAAGGAGUGGGAGAGGAUUGAGAAGACAUGAUGGGCAAUGCUAGCUCAGUACGUGAUGAGAGAUUCUUGCUUGGGAAGGUGGGAGGCUUUUGGGGCAAAUGGAAUUUGCAUUGGCAUUUAAUGGUUAGAAGGGUAUUCUAAUCAGAAGGAGAUAAAAACUCACAAGUUGGAAAUCCAACAGUUGGAGAAAUUGAGACCAGGAUGAUUGGAAAAAGGUGGUAUGAAUAGGUUGGUGCAUCAAGGAGAGAAGGGAGAUGGAGGUAGCAUAAUAAAGUAGACACAAACCAAAUUAUGGAGGGAUUAAAUGUCAGGGCAAGUUUUUAUUCUAUUUUGCACUUUUUGUGAAGUCUUCAAAGGUCUUUGAGCUAGAGAAUGGCAUUAACACUUUUCCUUCCAUCUACACCUGCAAAACCUCAACCCCAAAUGAAUCCAACUAUCUACCUCCUCCCCUCUACAUCUAUAAUGGUCUUCAUUCUUACUAAGGCCCUCAAGGCAACCCAGACAUUUUUCUCCACUACCACCUUUAUCCAUUUUCUCUCCAUUACCAGCAUCUUCUUCCAUUUCCCAUAACAAUGCUAUUAAACCUCAACCAGGCUCAGCUCUUUGAUCAUGCUCAGGGGAAGACCCUCCUCCCACUUCAGGGAGAAAAAACAGGCCCUUAGGCUGGCCUUUCCUCCGCUGCUUGCUUCCCUGGUCCAAGCUCACCUGCAUGACACUCCCAUGUUUUCAUGCUUCUCUUCUGUGGCAAAAAGCAACCAAAAAACAAAGCAAAAACUUUUUUGUCCAAGGGUAAUCCUGGUAAUCCCCCUACUUGUGCUGUGGAUUCCAUUCCUCUCCAGGGUCAAUCUCCUCUCCCUCAACACAUAAACCAGAUUCA